rnacentral:rRNA from 1 species
ACAGUUUGAUCAUGGCUCAGAACGAACGCUGGCGGCGUGCCUAACACAUGCAAGUCGAACGGGGUCCAUGAGAGCUUGCUCUCGGAAGACCUAGUGGCGAACGGGUGAGUAACACGUGAGAAACCUGCCUCGGAGUGGGGAAUAACUCGGGGAAACCCGAGCUAAUACCGCUUACCCUCAGAUGGUCGCAUGGCCGACUGAGGAAAGAAUUUCGCUCUGAGAGGGUCUCGCGGCCUAUCAGCUAGUUGGUGGGGUAACGGCCUACCAAGGCAACGACGGGUAGCUGGUUUGAGAGAACGAUCAGCCCCACUGGGACUGAGACACGGCCCAGACUCCUACGGGAGGCAGCAGUGGGGAAUCUUGCGCAAUGGGCGAAAGCCUGACGCAGCAACGCCGCGUGCGGGAUGACGGCCUUCGUGGUUGUAAACCGCUUUCAGCAGGGACGAAAAUGACGGUACCUGCAGAAGAAGCCCCGGCUAACUACGUGCCAGCAGCCGCGGUAAUACGUAGGGGGCGAGCGUUGUCCGGAUUCAUUGGGCGUAAAGAGCUCGCAGGCGGUUCAGUAAGUCAGGUGUUAAAGCUCCGAGCUCAACUCGGAGAGGCCCAUUUGAUACUGCUGUGACUAGAAUCCAGUAGGGGAGCGUGGAAUUCCUGGUGUAGCGGUGAAAUGCGCAUAUAUCAGGAGGAACACCAGCGGCGAAGGCGGCCCUCUGGGCUUG